UACGUAGGCAGCGAGCGUUGUUCGGAGUUACUGGGCGUAAAGGGUGUGUAGGCGGUUCUUUAAGUUUGGCGUGAAAUCUCCCGGCUCAACCGGGAGGUGCGUCGAAUACUGAGGGACUAGAGUACGGGAGAGGAAAGUGGAAUUCCUGGUGGUAGCGGUGAAAUGCGUAGAUAUCAGGAGGAACACCGGUGGUGUAGACGGCUUUCUGGACCGUAACUGACGCUGAGACACGAAAGCGUGGGUAGCAAACAGG
rnacentral:rRNA from 1 species